rnacentral:lncRNA from 1 species
UUUGAUUUUACACUUGAAUGAAGGUGAUCUUUUUAGAGUACAAGAAGAACAUGAAAGCAGGCGAGCGGCGGAGGGCAAGGUCUUGAUAGUUGUGGAGUUUGAUUCAGUAGUGGACGAGGAGGACUGGGUAAAAUUUUAUUCGUCUGUGACAAAUCUGAAGAAAGGGAGCAAGGUGGUGAUCAUCAGCAACCUUAGAAAAUUUGACACAUUUGCAACUGUUAAGCCAAUUUUUCUCAGUACCCUGCCAUAUGCGGAGUUCAGGUACCUCUUCAAGAUACUCGCAUUCGGAAGCACAAACCCCAUGGAACAUCCUCAGCUGUUAAAGAUUGUCGACGAAUUAUCCAAGGAGUUGCAACUGGG